GCUGCAGCCCGGCACCUGGGACGGCCGUUAGGCCGCCAUGUUGCCCGCGACGGGACAGGGGCUGCCCCGACAUCACCAACCGCCCGGCGGCUUUUGUACCUUGUUUCCAGUCAGUAGUAGCGGUCCUGUUGUCUCCAAGACGUCUCAGUACUCUUCUCAUUCGUAUUGAGAUGGUGAUUUUCUUCAGAGUCUUUGUUAGACAAAGAGUACGGAGAGCUAUACAUAAUUUGUUACUAGCUUAUACAUGUAUGCUGUUAAUUGUUUAACUUCUUCUCCUUUAAUUCUCUGUUACUCAGGUCUUUUCUAUCCAAAGCCAAAAGCUAGUAGUUUUCCAGCAUCAAGGGGUUUCUGUUUUGUAAAGAUAUCUAUUACAUCUAACUUGCCUUUAACUGAAGGCUCAGAAGUUUUUCAGAUGGCUGGACAGACAGAAGCUUGUCUUUGUGCUUAUAACUUACUCCAUCUACCUAAUCUCUAUGGAUAUAUAUCAGAGAACCCUGAUAAAGUAGAAAGACCCCUAAAAAGAGCUAUUAAUUGUACUAAAGGACCCAAAUGGUAGCGGAGGCCAUGAAAUUAACAAAAUUCUUACCUUGUUCUGAUGCAGAAACAACAUUCAAUUCCCACAGGUGUGGGAAUUAGCUCACGGCUAAGGGAAGGAUUUUGCUCAGUCAGAAUUUUACAGGAAUUUACAAAGGCUAACACGUGGAAGUUUAUUUCCAGUGAUUUCUUUUGAGAUAUGCAAAGAGUUUGGCACAUUUAGACUGAAGUCUAAAUCUUCAGGUUGCACAUGCUGUGUUCCAGUAUACGAAAGCGUUGCAGAAAAUGAGCCCAGAUAAAAGGUCCUGAUGUGCUGGCUGAGAAAUCCCCAGGAAAUGAUCACUUGCCAGAUUUUGCAGACACACAGCUUCGAAGUUGAAACCUCUCUUACUGUCAUCAGGAUAAUUCGCAAUGAAUGUCAUACUUCGACUGACAACAGCUGUGUGAAGCUGGCACAGGACUCGUGGAUACCUUUGUUAACCUGUGUGCUGUUCCCAGGGCAUCCAAAGCCACUGCAGCUGCCUCUGAAGUGCUCCUGUUGUGGCUGUUUGGCCCCCAGGACCAGCAAGAUCUACCACGGUGCUGGCAUUCACUUUGAUGACAGCUGCUGCACUUCAAUGAAUUUUACAAAUGGUGAACUAAGACACUGCCCCACAGUAUCUCCUAAAUUGAGACUUAACGAAGAAGAGAGUGGGGGAAAGGAUCCAGAAGGCCAUGAGACCCUGAGGACGUGUCUUACCUUUGGGCUGCUUUAAUUCAUGAAAUACAACGAUGUCAUGAGGAUUAUUGAGAUUUUCUGCUAAAACAGAGAUGUCCAAGCCACUCAGCCUGUUGGCACUGAAGAUUGCUUCAUUCUCCAGGAGGAGCAGGCCAGCCACACUUUGGGCUUCCCAGAGGUGCUCCUUCAGGGCCACUCAGCCCUAUUUAGUUGUUGGUCUCUUGCUGGAGAAUAACGACUGGGAUUCAAAUGACAUCCUUCUGAUGGAGCCGCGUGAUUAACACAUCUUCAGUGAUGAAGAAUGCUGGGUUCCAGAAAUCCUUGUGCUGCAGGCUGAGGGAAUGGCAGUGGUGGGAACUUUCCGCCCCAGACCAGACAGAUUUUGGAGAGGGUGCAGGUAAAAGUGGGUGGGAAGGGCUCAGUGUUAUUUAGAAUGCUGUGAACUGAAUGUCUCUUCCUGGAGCAGAUCCACUUAUUUUGGAUGAGAUUCACUAAACUGAAUGCAAGUGGAUAAGUGCCAACAAAAAACAAAUUCUGUAAUAAAACAAGCCAUUAAUUAAUUUCUUAAUUACUAAAGGAUAACAUUAUUUGUUCACAGCAGUAGCACUUCAACAAUAUGCAGUGGUAGUAACAUUUUCUCUUACAUCCUUUUAUAGACAGAAUUUUCAAACAUAAAACCAAGCACAGAACCUCACACCUGCGUGGUGCUAAAUGUGGAUGCCUUUAACUUGGCUGUGUUUGCCUACUUAACAAGAAAUUUACAUUAGCCACAGUGGAUCCUGUAGCUGUGACCUGCCUGCUUACCAAGUGUGAUGCCGUUUGGCCACUCAAUGUUGUCAGACACCAGCACUUGCCGCCCCACACCAUUGAGGCCUGCUUUCUCAAUCUUCGCUUUGUCUCCCCAGUCAGACCAGUACAUGAACCUAAAAGAGAUGGAUGCAAGGAGACAGUAAAUUGGACCAAAGGGCACUGCAGAGACAAGAUUUGUCACUGGGCUGACACAUGGCACAGAGAAGGCUGUACAGAUGGGCUGGAGCUCAGGAAGGGCUGAGUGCUGGCAGCAUCACUCCAACACCACGGGAACAAAGUGCACAUGUGGCAAGACAACUGACAGAGAAACCUUCACCGUUGUGUACUGUAUCCUGCUGCUUUCUCCUCCACCUUGGUCUUACCUCUAUAUCUGGAUGGCAGGCGUUUGCAGGACAGGGAACUGUUAUUUUAUGUUUCCACCAGCUUCCUGCUACAACUGCACAACAUCUGACUUAGGGCACAUUAACUUCAGUAGUACCAUUUAAUGGGAUUUAUGGACAUUGGAAAUCUUAUAAUCUUCAGCGCUCUGCCAAACAGAGUUGAAUUUAGCAUACAAAUAAAUGUGCUUAAGUGUGUUGCAGAAUUAGGACCUGUGUAACUAAUUUUAAUUCAUCAAAGGGAUUCAUGAAGCUAUACUAAUUUGGCAAGUGAUCUCUUGUUAGAUACAAAGAAAAUCUUCACUUAAUGUCAGCCUUUGGUUUCUCUCUGACCCAACACCAAAGGAAUGGUGCCAUUAGGGGUUCUGCAGAGCAUAUGGCUCUGGUUCCCAAGCUGCUGUUAUUUUGGUCUGAUGAGCACCACACGUUCUGACUGUGCAGUUCCAGCCCAGCUAAUUCCUCCCUAGUGAAACAGCGGUGUUCACACCUUCAACCAACAUGGCGCUGCUCACACUGUCCUGAGCCAUGAGUGUGACUCGAUGCACUGGUGGAGAAACCAAGGAGCUCCUGGGGCUUCGAGAGGGUGGAAAUACAGAAGUGACAUUCUGAUUCUCCUACAAACUAAAUACAGUAAAAUAUCUUCUAACACCCUGAUGGGGACAACGCCUCAAUGGCAGAAAGAGAAGUAAAGUGAGUGUCAAGAAAGAGGAGAUCUCUAGACUGCUGUUACCCACAGGACUCCUGCAGUGGACUCCUCUGUUGGAGGCAUAUGGUGGCCUUCUCUUUGGAAGUGCUUGAUAUUAGCGAUAUUAGCAGCACCUCCAACAGCAGCAUUAAUUGUUAAGAAACGAUGGUUACACAGCCUGCUCUGCGGAAAAGAUAGGACUCAAAAUAAAGCUAAUGCAAGCAGGACUGAGAAAGAUAAAAAUUCUGCUGUUUGGAAAAGGAACCAGGCUUGGUACAGUCAUACUUAGGGUAUGAACACUGCUCGGGGCUCUCAGUCCCAGGGCAUUAACUGUCAGAGAGCUGCAGAAGGAGCAGUGUGUCUUAAAUAAUUCUCUGUCUGCUCUUACCCACCCUGCCCAUGCCUGCAGGAUCAGACACAGUGGAAGCAGCUCGCUGCUGAGCCACCUCCCCGUUUCCAGGGCCACAAAGGGCUGCUCAGGGUACCUGCCCAGCUACUUGAGUGCUUAAUAAUCAGGACAACCUGAGCAAAUUUCCCUGCCAGUGGCAUGAGAGCUAGCAUAGCCUAAAAAAACCUCAACUUGGCUCCUAUGCACUGAAACCAAUCAACCUUUUUGUCUGAUCAUUAGCUAAAAUCCAAAACAAAUUGCUGUUGAAGCUGUAAUAGGGUGCAAUAGCUAUGCAAAUCAGAAUAUACAUGAGGAAUUUUCAGUGCAUAAAUGAAAUGCAUUUUUGACUAGGCACUCGUACAAGCUCCAGUACAUAAUAAUUGUGAUGAAUGUAUAAAAACUGCUGAAAUGAAAAGGGAAACAGAAAUUACAGGAUAUGGAAUGUGGUCUGUGGUCAAGUGCUGUGGAUUUUCAUCUAGUCUAGCAGAGCCUCCAGUGGUCAGUCAAUAUCCUUGCUUCCACCACUUGCCUCCUUUGUGCCUUCAGACGCCAAGUCCUUUGUGGUUUCACAUACAGGAAGCACACAGCAAAGCAGCAGCCUCACUUGGCAAUAUGAUCAUUCAGUAAACAAGAGUCCAUGUGUAAUUGCACAAAUGCAGUGGGGUCUAUUACUGAUGGAAAGCCUUCCUGCAUUUUCAAGCCAAGUAGCUGCACAAACCCCUGAUUUCUUUAUCAAUUCCUGAAAAACUUACAAAGUCUGGGCCACAACAGGUAAUGCAAAGGGAAGAAAAGCCCUCAGGUUUGCUGCAUCCUGUGUUGUUCUCUGCAUAUCGUCCUUACAGAGUACAAACUGAAGCACAGCUUUAGAGAGGUACCAAAACACACAUUCUGUAUUAGCCCUUACCUGUAGAUUUUUCGGUAGAACAAAUCACACCAGUAUAUUCUGUUUGUUGCCACCUCCACAUCCAGCGCCACGACAUUUUUCAGCAUGGGAAUGAUGCGAGAAUAGUCCCUUUUCACCAGGUCUAUCUUGCGGACCUCGUGGCGGUUGGUGAAGAUCAGGUAGGGACUCUUUCCUGACACAGAAAAAAGUGCAUUUGUUAUUUUAGCAGCUGACCCGAGGGCUGGAUACGUUCUUUCCUCAAAGAACAACAAAGUGAAGAGCAGUAAGUCAGGGAUCUGCUUUGUGCCAGCAGCAGGUCUAAGUGGCUUCUGGCCAAAUGUAGGCAGCUAACAUACAGAUACAGGGCACAGCAUCCCUGUCACCCAGCUUCUGGGAAACGUCCUCACUUUCAGUUAUACAUUUUAGAUACAAAAUCCAGGGGCUGGAUUUCAGUGAUUCAUGGUCAGGACAAGGAAGAGAAAGCCCUCCCGGCUGUCUGGAGGGAAGGCAGGCAGCCAGAUCAAGGUAUGGCAGAGCCACACUGAAUCCAGCAAAGCCAGGAACUCGUUGCUAGGAAGGCAUUUUAGGCUGUCACAUACAUGCAACACCUUGCACUAUCCAACCAAGCACUUGGGCUCACACAGCUCACAUCUCUUCUUUGUGGGCCAGAGCCUGCAGCCUGGGUGCUGGUCAAACUGUAACAGCAGUCAUAUUCUCAGGCCAGCCCAGGCCACAGCCUCUCAGAAAGGCUGCAAUCCCUCUGACAUUAACAUUCAUUUUUGCAAUAAGCCCAAGCAAGCUGAUGGUGUUCACGUUGGUAUCUGUGUAUGAGGCUGGGCAGGUGGAGAGGUGGUAACCUACCAUGUUUUAAUUGGGUUGUUUUCUUUUAACAUGACUACCAGUAAAUAUUUUUUUCUGUGCUGUUUUUAGUGAAACCUGUCAAGAGGCUUUCUUUUCAAGUUUCAGCUUCUAACAGCCAACUAGUGAUUAUAAUCUCGCUCUGCACACCGUUAAAAUAUUCUGAUCUGCACUAUCAGUAGUUCUUGCCUAGAGACACAUCUGCUAUCACUGCAGUAGUUCCAUGCUGCUUGAAAUUAAUGCCUUUGCUUGCUAGUUAACUUCUGCCUGUUCCCGUAGGCUCAGCCCUGCAAGUGUGUUUUCUUAGCAGAGCUGUGAUGUUGAGCAGUCAGAGUUUAAGAGCCUGUCAGGCUGCCUUACCUACAGCUUUGCAGUUCUUGGACAGGGUGUCCAUCUCGUAUCCCUCGUAGCACUCACAUUUGUAGUCCCCCUUGUAAUUAAUGCAGAUCUGGCUACAAGCGUCUGGAUUCUCACAUUCAUCUAUGUCUGAAAGGAGUGUUUGAAACCCAUCAAUAACUUGAAAUCAAACCAUCUGUGAUGGAGCAAUGCUGAAGUGCAUAUAAUCAUGGCUCUAUAUGGUGAAACACAAGGGACUGCUGUUUGCAUGUAAAUUACCUCCACACGUUUUUUUAUCCAGAAGCUUGUAUCCGGGCGGGCAUUCACAUUCGUAGCCUAUCUUCAAGUCUUUGCAUAUGUGUGAGCAGCCACCGUUGUUCAGAGAGCAUUCGUUAAUACCUGGAAGAGGCAUACACGUUCUCUGUGGUAAAGGAGGGGUUCUACUCAUAAGACUGAAUAAAAUUAAGAAAGGGCAAACUCAAAUUUUCCCAUAGCUACCAGCUUCUGGUAACCAGGCGUUGGCCACGUAGAGCGUAUGAGUGACUUCAGAGAAAGGAAGCCAUCACCCUAUCUCUUCCUUGCUCUUUAUUAUUCCAAACCAACGCUGCUGGGAUCAGUUGGACUGAAAGCUAGUGGCUAAAUGAGGAGGGAGCCCUGGGAACACAGCACCUGUGCAUCUGUGCACAUCUCAUCCGUCAGAAACCCACUACAUUGAGCAUGUUCUGCCGGAUGGGAGGCAUUUCCAAGGAACCUAAUGGUGUUCUCCAGGAGAUGACUCCUUCCCCAUGCACGGGUUAAUGUUGACUUCUCUGAACAGUCUCUUUGAGCUUUAAUAAUUCAUGCUGGGGGAGUCUCAUGUCCCAGAGGCCAGCUGUUUUGAACUACUGUACUAUUUACCCAUCUAGCACCAAGGAAGGAUCUGAAUGACAAUUCUAGCAACGCCUGAGUUGCAGCAGCCCAAGUGUGCAGUCCAUGGAACAACAGCCCCCAUCCCCUCCUGGGCCUCUGCCUAAUCCAAGGCCAGCUUCUCUGAUCCUGCUUUCAAGAGCUGAAAUGAAAAAUAGACUAAAUGUGUCUUUUUAACUAGAAUUGAAUGAGAGAUGGAAGAAAGCUGAUUUUCUGCCAGAAAUAACAUUUCUUCUUGUUGUAAUUAACCUUUAGAAGGUGAAGAGAAAGUUUUCUCCAUAAGGUUGCUGUACAGAAGCUGUGGGAUUUCAUGGGUAGUGGGUUCAGUGGAACAAGCAAAACUGAUUUACUUCAUUUCUGAAUGCAAUUUAAAGGCAAAAUUUUCAUUUAUCUUUUACUUCUUGCUUCCUUGCAUGACGCAGGUGAGCAGUGCAGCACAGCCAUUAAACCACUGCUCUUGAAAGAAAAUGAAAACAACCACAAGCCAGUUAAAGUCAGUAGGCUAGGAAGAUACCAUGCCAGAGAGCCCCAUCCCAGCUCUGGGAUGCCUUCACCUUCCUAUCAGAGACACGCAUGUACAUAGGUAUCAAUAAGUUAUUAACAGAGCAGGUUCACUGGGCCCCAGGAAAGUGUCCAUGAAGUCACACUGUGUGUUGGCACUGUUCAGUGAUGUUUAUUAAUUGAUAUCACCUAUUCCUGCACUUGCACAGGCCUCUAGCAAACUCCAUCAUAUCCAUGCACAACUGCUCUUUGCAAAACACGACAAAAACUGUUUUAACUAACAAGCAAGCUCUCAUGUAAAUGUAAAUGUAAAUGUAAAUGUUUCCUCUGGUUUCAGAGGCGCUUUGUGGAAUAAUUUUGGAGACUGUAAAUCAGGUGUUGGCUCACUUGCUGCACUUCUCAACAGGAGCUGAGGAGGAACAGGCAGAGACUGCAGCCUGCUCUCUGCUGGACAGCUGCUGCCCACUACCCAAACUUCAGCAUCAUAUCCACUGCCUGCUUAAAGUGAGACAAGUGAUGCUCUGCCUCUUCAGUGCUUUUCUAGGGAAUCUUGAAGGGCAAUGCAAAGGCAAACAUGCAGCUGUACAGACACGCUGAGCUGAGGAGAAUACCCUGCAUCUCCUGGGCUGCUGUGCAGAUUACCUGUGGCUGCAUGUCAAAAUUCACAGCAGUCAUCAUUCUGCAGUCUUAAAGAAGAAUGUCUCCUUUGGAGACUAUUCUCUGCACAGCUUCCUAACUCAAAUGGCACUCAGCUGCCAGCCUAGGACCACAACAAGGCAGUCACAGCACCAUGGUUAAGGCUGAGCGCAGUCUCCUCUGCCAACUGGGCUGCUGGCUUUGAGUGAGACCUCCACAGGCAGACAAGUUGCAACACCCACUCAGAAAGACAGGGAGAUGUGGAUUAGUGCAGAAGAAAGCAAGGGUGUUCUGAAAGCACAGGGUAAGAGCAUCCUUUGCUGGGAAUUCACACACUUUUUGUCCAGUACAGAGAAGCCAACAACUCUCCCUGAACAGGAGAUAUUUAAGCUGCAGGUACAGAGCUCCAUGCUACUGGUGCUCCAUGAAGUCGUGGAAAGGGACACCACAGCAGCCUGUCUGAGGCAUUUCUGCCCCUGGGGAAGAACCAAUGGUGUGGCAGUGAUGCUCUAAGUUGGGGCUGGCACCCACAAUGCCUGGUGAGAAAGGACAGAGAGGCUCAGCUCCCCAACCUGCAGCUUUCUGUUCUGCUGACUCCCACAGCCCAGGAGCAGACCAGGCUCUCACGGCCUGGUUGUUCUCAGCAGCCCACAGCCAGCAGGAUGCUGCAGACAGCAACUUAAUGUCAUUUCUGGAGGAUGCAGCAACAAACCCAGCAGUGGCUGAAGUCACUGCUUAGUGGAUGCUGCCACUCACUGCGUGCUUUCACCUUCGAAGCAUGUUACCAGUGCUAAACCUUCAUGGCGUUUUGUUCAUCUUUCAGUUAUUCACAGGUAAUUUUUGGCAGGAAGGCCAAAUAAACUGGUCAGUGCUGUGGAGGACCCCAAAGUCUGGGAAGAGGGGGAAUUCCUGGUUGCUAGUGCUGUGCUCAGCUGAAACAUCCCUCCAAGGUUAAAAGCUGAACUGAGAAGGGCACAGUUCACACUGGCAGAUGAUCAGACCGGGCUACUAAUUAUAUUCAUGUGAAGGGUGAAGAGAGAAUAAAGGCAAGGAAAGAGAAGCAGAGUGAGAAAUAGCAUUAGCAGCUACAUGUGGUUACACUCAAAGCUGUGAGCACCAGAUGGAGGAGAGGGGAAGCAGUUACAACAGGAGCAACACGUAGAAGGCAAGUACUGUACCACAUUCUUUCAGAGGCUCGUCAGACCAGUCCCUGCAGUCUCUAUGUAAAUCGCACACUUUGCCUCCGUCAAUGCACUCUCCACUCUUACACUGAAACUUGCUGGGACUUUCACAUGCUGACUCUGUCAUGUCGGGCAAGAGAGGAAAGCAACUAAGUUAGGUGAGGCUCAAGACAACAAAAAGCCAGACACAGAGCUUCAAGAAGGUGUCAUUAGCAGAAAUGGGAUGAGAUUAAGCAAAUGAACAUUAAAGGUUGAGUAUGAUGCGAGGAACUUUUCAAGACGUGCAGUCUGCCUGGCCAGCACAAUCAUCUCUCCCAAGCAACCCCACUGCCAGAACGGCUUACAGCUCUGCAGGAAGCAGCCUGUCGUGGCACAGAGGAGCAACGCAGGCCUUCUCCUUCUGCAGUGGCCACAGAGCCCUUGCAGACUUACAAAACUGAGCACAAAGAACGUAGUGCUGUUCUGAACGUACCUUGGACACAGCCUGCCUCGUCACUGUUGUCAGGACAGUCGUGCACUUUGUCACACUGCUUUGCUCCAUGGAUGCAGGUCCCAUCCCCGCACUGGAAUUCAUCCGGUCUGCAGGUCACCAGAGCUUUAAAAAAACACACGUAAACGUUAUCCACACAGCACUUGAACUUUUUGUGUGGUACUUUUUAUCUGACACUGCAGGAGCUUUGCGCCCUCCUUCAGAAGGAUCAACUGCUUCCACCAAAGCAACAGGCAGCAGCUACCUCAGGCACUGCCCCGUGUCCCCCAACAUCCCUGACCACCCUCUACCAUCCUUGUAUUUUAAGAUACAUUUUAAAACACGUUCAGCCUAAGGUCAAAGGCAAGACACAUGUAUGCUGCAUCUGCUACAGCCAACGUGGUCACGCCAGGGAUGAAGCGAGUGACAGACGUGGUCAUUUGGGUCAAUGAAUGCCCGUGAGCCAACCACAGAGCCUGGAAGGCACAACAGCUCCACUGCCCCAUGGCUUGGUGCUUCUUGGGUUUACAGGCCAGAAACAUCUCCAAAAGUGUCAGGUCAGAUUUCAAGCCUGAUGCUCAUUUGCCCUGUUGCUGUUAUUACACUCAAAAGAGAUCUGAUGAACAGCAAAAUUGGGGAAAAAAUAGAUCAGACUGCUGCUCUGAUCGUGCUAAAAGCAGCCGCAUUUCCCUCCUCAAGGUUACACUGAGACCUUCCCAGAUGGGAUCUGACUUGCACUGACAGAGCCAACAGGCACUGGCUAGCCAGCAAAGGGCUGCAGCCUGCAGCUCACUGGUAAAAAUAGGCUCCUCGUUCCUGAGGCACGUUACGUGGCUUAUUUCUAAGGGGACUAUCUUCCAGAUGUUUUGUUAAAAUCCUGUUAAGGCAGCACACCCUGGAGAGCUCUUGAUUCUAACCUUUCCAUCUUGCUGAUUGCAGCCUGGUACCAUAUGACAGAAAAUCACUGCCUCUGAAUAGCUGGAGGAGGUCAGCACUGAUGUUCCUACACGGGAGGCGAGAGCCACGUGGCAGACCUUCCUUGACAAUUUGACAAACUGCCUCUAAUACAAAAAUUACUACUUUCAGAUAACCCAAGAAGAGCCACAGAUACGAAGUGGGUUAGUGUUGAUAUCAUGAAGUAUUAGUAUGCCUGAAGGCUCAGCAUUAUUGGUGAUAGCAUCCCAUGGGAUGCAGGAUCCAGAUUCAAAACUGCUGGACUAAGCCCUAAGUGUCUGCAGGCAUUGAAAGGUGUGAAAGACAGGAAAAGCUGCAACUGCAGUGCCUGUGCCGGAGGAGGGAAAUCCUGCCUUAGAAACACACAGUAUUCACAGGAGAAAGGUUACAAAAUAGCACUGCUCCGUGGAGAGGAAAGCCAUGUGGACUACAGUCAGAAAGAGCUGCAAAGCAAGAAUAAAACCACACGCAAUAAGAGCGGUUAUGGGACCAGCUGUGUCAGUGUAUCUGCUAACAAACCCAGAUACAGAAAUGCAAAACCUCAGCAGGACAUCCAGCAGCUCCAAACCAAGCACCUGGGAACUGCUCUUCUAACAAAGGAGAGGGGGACGUGAAACUGUGGUCUGGGAGAACCACAGACCUCAGGUCUGCAGGGAGGCUGGGGCACUUCUGUCUGAACCAUUCACUUCCCUGGCAGAAGCCCUGAAGGUGGAGAGACCCUGUAAUGCAAUCCCAGCUUCUUCCAAGCUAAACCUUGGCCAUUGCAAACCUUUUCCUAAUGCCUAGCCUCACAUUCCCCUGCUACAACUAUUUCUGAUCUUCACCUCCCAACAUGGGAAAGUUUACCCUUUCUGUAGCAACUUCUGUUCUGUGGAGACAGGAUGGGGUGGUCCUCCAUUUCUGGCUACAGGUAUUAAUUUUCUGCAAAUAUGCUACAUGCAAUUAAAGCCAGCAGGAGCCUGGCCUGUCCUGGGGCAGAAGUUUCCAGUUUAUGAAGUAAACCUGCAAGGCAAUGGCUGCAGAUUGGGAAGGCUCAGCUAGUAAAGGGACUGCGAAACACAGAUGUGGGACUGUACAACAUCUGCACAAAGCUCCUUCUUCACCAAGAGUCAGAGGACUGGAGACCAGGCUUGGUUUCCUGGUUUGCUUCUCGUUCCAGCAGAGCUGUGGAAAUUCAGACCUUUGAGAAAUGGCCCUUGAGCCUCUUCAUGAACAUCCGAAAAGAGCAGAUACAGUGACAGCUCUUACUGAUCACACAGGUAUUAAAAUGAAUAUACAGCAUUUCUAUACCUUGGUGAAUUUCUCAACAGGAGAAGGGAGACUGUGAUGCUUAUACUCAGCCUGGAGAGCAUACACAUGAGAAGAGAGGGCCAGGAACCUUAUUAUCAUGAAGAUGGGAGACAAACCCAUCUGAGCACCAUGGGCACAGCUGACAGCAGACCACCAAUGGGGCCCUGCCCAAAGCAGAGCAAUGUCCCAAGCACAGACACGAGCUGUACAGUUCAUUUGCAUCAGCUGUACAGAAAGCUGCUGUGCUAUUUUAGUGGGUUUAAAUCAGUGACAUUUCAGCAGUUUUAUAGUCACCUUCACAGCUCUGCAAAUUAAAUAUGAAACAGUUUACCAAAGCUCUGUUAAAUUAACUGGUGCGCUCAAACAGACACACUUCAUUUGCAAAUACUGGGCACAAGGCUGUACUGCUCAAAUUCAGCAGAUAUAUUCCAGAUUCCAAGUCUGAGCCUCUAUUUCUUCUGUCUUUUGCUUCUUUUCCCCCCAAAACGUCAGCUGAAGCUCAAGAAAACCCCAGCAUUUACAAAACACAUCAGUUCCAUAGUACUGAUGAGGAAACAUAGGCAGGAAAGCGUGAGGACAGAGAUGUGUUUUCUAGCUGUCACGUACUGGCAUUAUUUAUCCUCCCUCCUGGGCUGCAGAGGAUAUUUUAAAUCUAACCAUUUGGAGAAUAAUAAAUCUAACCCAAUGUCCAUUUUAUAUACGUGUGCACAUACACACACAUACAUUUAAAUAUACAUACCAAGGAAAAAACCAACUCACACACCUUCCCUGAAAUGACUUCUUCCUUCCUAUUUAUUUGCUGGCUUCGCUGCCAAAACCUGUUCACCAGCUGUCACCCUUCAUUCCUGCUCUCCUCGUUUAUCACCUCAAAAUAAUUACAACAAAUAUCCGGUGAUGGCCUCAUGACAUUUUUUUUUUUUUAAAGCAUUAACUCCUAUCCUUCUGUUUUACACAAUGCAAAAACCCUAAGAGAAGGCACAGUGCUGGUGUUCUCAGUUUUAAUCAAGUCAAAGCCAGCAGUGCUUGUGCCAUGGCUGUUGCUAAGGGAAUGCAGUGCUGCCACACAGCUGUAACUCCCUGCGUGCCAUGCGAUGCUGACCUCAAAAAAGGAAGUUCUGGAGGUGAGAAAAAAAUAAUAGAGGCCAAUCUCUAAACUCUUCAGUCCAACAAAGGAACAGUGAUGCACUCAAAUACCACCUUCUUACCACAGACGUGCACCCAAGCUACAGCUUUGGUUAGGAUGGGGAAGCACCAUCACCUUUGCCUCUGACCCCGUGGACUCAGGGGCUGUGUUUGCAUUCAGUGCCAUGGGUUCUCUGCAUGCUGCUGACCCGGAGAUCUCCCACCUGUAGUGCAAGCAGCGACAGGGCUGUGCAGCUCAGUGGCACAAAAUCCCAAACUUGCACAGGUACAAAGCAGACAACCCUAUUCAAAGGAGCACAUCAGGAACUAAAACACGGGGCUCUGGAGUCCCACCAUUUCUCGGCUUCCUGGAUUGAGAGCAGCAGAAGCAGCACACAUCUAUACCUCCCGGGUAGAUAAGCUGCAUAAUGUGCUGCACUGAGAGUUAGCAGGAAAAGAACCCCUCAGGCACUGAAUCUCCCCUAGUCAGAGAUAUAAUGGUCUCAAGACUUCUUCCCUCUUCAGCCACAUUUCCUCUUUCCUCCACUGGUUGUCAGCACCGUGCUGUGCUGCAGCCCUGUCCGGCUGUGUCUUCUGCCCCACGGAGGCUGCCCUGGGGAACCUGGAGGUGUUACCUGGUGAAGCUGCUCUGUAGCGGGGCUGCUGUCACUGCCCUGCUCCUCCUGUGUCCCGUGUCUCAGCAGACCCAGCUAGCUGGGCACCUGCUGGAGUCUGUCAGGCCUUACUGCCUCCUCCUCUUGCUAAAGGAAUCACCAAAUUUGCAUCUCUGCCCUGGAGAGCAUCUGAUUGCUCUCCUCCUUGAAGGGCUCCCCCAUGCAAGCUGCUCUGAGGUCACCAGCUGAGACUCAGCGCUGUCCUGGUUAUGGGAAGAUGGUGCUGGAAAGGUGGACGUUUUCACACACACCUUUGUAAAAAUGUCUGCUUCCUGCAGCUGGUCGCCGCCUUCCUCCCAGAGGUGGUCCAAUGUCAGAGCUGCUAAAUAUAUGCAGCUACGUAAAUGUUUUAUUUUAUUCCAAUCUUGUGAUAAUGAAUAUUUCAGCAAAACGUUUUGCUCUUAUUUUCUUGCUAUCUCCCUCCUCAGAUAAGUGACUGGCUUGAACAGUUUUUGUGGCUAAAACUGGAUGAAGCAUUCAAAACACCGUGCACACCAACAACACCAUGUUAAAUGUAUCAAGCCAGCUGAAAAGAAAUCCAUUAUUUAUUAGCUCUGUGCCUGUAACAGCCAAGCUCAAAGUGCAUUUCAAACUGGAUUAUUCAGAGGUGCUGCCUUGCUCGGUAUACUCCAACUUCAGAGUGAAACAGAUCUUCUCUGAGGCACGGUGCCAUUCAACAGCUCUCGCAGCCCCUCUCUGAAUCCUGACAGAGCAACAGAAUAGUCUGGAAUACACCGAAUGCUGCUGGGCUGAGCACCCGGCCAUGCCUUGGGACACAAACGCUCCUUGGCAGACAGGAGCUGCACAGACAAUUUGCAACGAAGCCCUGCCUGAAAACACAGCCCAGAGGGGCUGCCCUCCCCACCAAAGGAGAAUCCCCAGCUCUGCCCACACUCACGGC